GGAGUUGUGGCUCAAUGGUAGAGUGCUUACCUAGCAUGCAUGAGGUCACUGGGCUCGAUCCUCAGCACCA
rnacentral:tRNA from 1 species